rnacentral:rRNA from 1 species
GAUGAACGCUGGCGGCGUGCCUAAUACAUGCAAGUCGAGCGAACGGACGAGAAGCUUGCUUCUCUGAUGUUAGCGGCGGACGGGUGAGUAACACGUGGAUAACCUACCUAUAAGACUGGGAUAACUUCGGGAAACCGGAGCUAAUACCGGAUGAUAUUUUGAACCGCAUGGUUCAAAAGUGAAAGUCGGUCUUGCUGUCACUUAUAGAUGGAUCCGCGCUGCAUUAGCUAGUUGGUAAGGUAACGGCUUACCAAGGCAACGAUGCAUAGCCGACCUGAGAGGGUGAUCGGCCACACUGGAACGGAGACACGGUCCAGACUCCUACGGGAGGCAGCAGUAGGGAAUCUUCCGCAAUGGGCGAAAGCCUGACGGAGCAACGCCGCGUGAGUGAUGAAGGUCUUCGGAUCGUAAAACUCUGUUAUUAGGGAAGAACAUAUGUGUAAGUAACUGUGCACAUCUUGACGGUACCUAAUCAGAAAGCCACGGCUAACUACGUG